UACGUAGGGCGCAAGCGUUAUCCGGAAUUAUUGGGCGUAAAGAGCUCGUAGGCGGUUUGUCGCGUCUGCCGUGAAAGUCCGGGGCUCAACUCCGGAUCUGCGGUGGGUACGGGCAGACUAGAGUGUGGUAGGGGAGACUGGAAUUCCUGGUGUAGCGGUGGAAUGCGCAGAUAUCAGGAGGAACACCGAUGGCGAAGGCAGGUCUCUGGGCCAUUACUGACACUGAGGCACGAAAGCGUGGGGAUCAAACAGG
rnacentral:rRNA from 1 species